rnacentral:lncRNA from 1 species
UUAGCAAGAAAGAAAUCUUUCACCCAACAAGUGCUCUCCGAACCAAGCUAGAUAGUUUCCUAUCACUAGGCUCACCAACCAACCUGGACUUUGAUUUAUCUUAUUCCUACUUUCAGUGGAUAGGUCGGACUCAAGAAGCAAAUAAAGAGUCUUCUUCUGAACUUAUGGGAUUCUUUCCAGCCAUGAGUUCCUAUAUGACAUAAGCGCUCUUGGGGCCGGCCAUUCCAUCUUUUCUUUGAGAAGGUCGUAUUUGAUGGUCGGCGUGGCGAUAGGCUGAGCUUCGUAGACUGCCUCCCCAGCCCUUGCAAAGACUGAGCGAGAACGGUAAGGGGCGCACAAAGAAUGUCGUUGCGCGGGGAUGCGAU